GACGAACGCUGGCGGCGUGCUUAACACAUGCAAGUCGAACGGAAAGGCCCUGCUUUUGUGGGGUGCUCGAGUGGCGAACGGGUGAGUAACACGUGAGUAACCUGCCCUUGACUUUGGGAUAACUUCAGGAAACUGGGGCUAAUACCGGAUAGGAGCUCCUGCUGCAUGGUGGGGGUUGGAAGGUUUCGGCGGUUGGGGAUGGACUCGCGGCUUAUCAGCUUGUUGGUGGGGUAGUGGCUUACCAAGGCUUUGACGGGUAGCCGGCCUGAGAGGGUGACCGGCCACAUUGGGACUGAGAUACGGCCCAGACUCUUACGGGAGGCAGCAGUGGGGAAUAUUGCACAAUGGGCGGAAGCCUGAUGCAGCAACGCCGCGUGCGGGAUGACGGCCUUCGGGUUGUAAACCGCUUUCGCCUGUGACGAAGCGUGAGUGACGGUAAUGGGUAAAGAAGCACCGGCUAACUACGUG
rnacentral:rRNA from 1 species